UACGUAGGGGGCUAGCGUUGUCCGGAUUUAUUGGGCGUAAAGAGCGUGUAGGCGGCCAGGUAGGUCUGCUGUGAAAACUCGAGGCUCAACCUCGAGACGUCGGCGGAAACCAUCUGGCUAGAGUCCGGAAGAGGAGAGUGGAAUUCCUGGUGUAGCGGUGAAAUGCGCAGAGAUCAUGAGGAAGACCAGUGGCGAAGGCGGGUCUCUGGACAGUUCCUGACACUGAGGCACGAAGGCCAGGGGAGCAAACGGG
rnacentral:rRNA from 1 species